AUUGAACGCUGGCGGCAUGCCUUACACAUGCAAGUCGAACGGUAACAGGUCUUCGGAUGCUGACGAGUGGCGAACGGGUGAGUAAUACAUCGGAACGUGCCCGAUCGUGGGGGAUAACGAGGCGAAAGCUUUGCUAAUACCGCAUACGAUCUACGGAUGAAAGCGGGGGAUCUUCGGACCUCGCGCGGACGGAGCGGCCGAUGGCAGAUUAGGUAGUUGGUGGGAUAAAAGCUCACCAAGCCGACGAUCUGUAACUGGUCUGAGAGGAUGAUCAGCCACACUGGGACUGAGACACGGCCCAGACUCCUACGGGAGGCAGCAGUGGGGAAUUUUGGACAAUGGGCGAAAGCCUGAUCCAGCCAUGCCGCGUGCAGGAUGAAGGCCUUCGGGUUGUAAACUGCUUUUGUACGGAACGAAAAGCCUCUUUCUAAUAAAGAGGGGUCAUGACGGUACCGUAAGAAUAG
rnacentral:rRNA from 1 species